GGUAGGGUUCUUCGGAACCUGAGACCGGCGCACGGGUGCGUAACGCGUAUGCAAUCUACCUUUUACAGAGGGAUAGCCCAGAGAAAUUUGGAUUAAUACCUCAUAGUAUAUAGACUCGGCAUCGAGAUUAUAUUAAAGUCACAACGGUAAAAGAUGAGCAUGCGUCCCAUUAGCUAGUUGGUAAGGUAACGGCUUACCAAGGCUACGAUGGGUAGGGGUCCUGAGAGGGAGAUCCCCCACACUGGUACUGAGACACGGACCAGACUCCUACGGGAGGCAGCAGUGAGGAAUAUUGGACAAUGGGCGCAAGCCUGAUCCAGCCAUGCCGCGUGCAGGAUGACGGUCCUAUGGAUUGUAAACUGCUUUUAUACGAGAAGAAACACUCCAACGUGUUGGAGCUUGACGGUAUCGUAAGAAUAAGGAUCGGCUAACUCCGUGCCAGCAGCCGCGGUAAUACGGAGGAUCCAAGCGUUAUCCGGAAUCAUUGGGUUUAAAGGGUCCGUAGGCGGUUUAAUAAGUCAGUGGUGAAAGCCCAUCGCUCAACGGUGGAACGGGCCAUUGAUACUGUUAAACUUGAAUUAUUAGGAAGUAACUAGAAUAUGUAGUGUAGCGGUGAAAUGCUUAGAGAUUACAUGGAAUACCAAUUGCGAAGGCAGGUUACUACUAAUGGAUUGACGCUGAUGGACGAAAGCGUGGGUAGCGAACAGGAAUUAGAUACCCUGGUAGUCCACGCCGUAAACGAUGGAUACUAGCUGGUGGAAAGCAAUUUCAGUGGCUAAGCGAAAGUGAUAAGUAUCCCACCUGGGGAGUACGUUCGCAAGAAUGAAACUCAAAGGAAUUGACGGGGGCCCGCACAAGCGGUGGAGCAUGUGGUUUAAUUCGAUGAUACGCGAGGAACCUUACCAAGGCUUAAAUGUAGAUUGACCGUUUUGGAAACAGAACUUUCGCAAGACAAUUUACAAGGUGCUGCAUGGUUGUCGUCAGCUCGUGCCGUGAGGUGUCAGGUUAAGUCCUAUAACGAGCGCAACCCCUGUUGUUAGUUGCCAGCGAGUCAAGUCGGGAACUCUAACAAGACUGCCAGUGCAAACUGUGAGGAAGGUGGGGAUGACGUCAAAUCAUCACGGCCCUUACGCCUUGGGC
rnacentral:rRNA from 1 species